CUUAAUGGAUUAAACCAACCAAUAUAUUUUCACUGUUUAGGAGGCCAGAUGUCUCAAAUCUGGCUUUUGGAGGAUUGGGCAAAACCGCCACACACCCCAUUCCCACCCCUGCUGCUGGUUGCCAGUAGUCCUUGACAUUUACUUCUUAGUUUAUACCUAGAGCUGCACUGCAGUCUUACACCUUCAUCUUCUCAUGGUCAUUUCUUUCUCUUGUGUAACUAUUUUCACUUAGUUCUUUUGUAAAUAGCAUUUAUUUGAACCAUUCUUUUUUUUAACUUACAUAUGAAUGAAUAUAUACCAUCUGUAUGCCUGGUGCCCACAGAAGUCAGAAAAUGGGGUCAGAUCUCCCGAAUCUGGUUGUGAACCACCACGUGGGUUCUAGAAACUGAACCCAGGUACUUAGAAGAACAGCUAGUGCCCUUAACCUUGGAGCCAUCCCCCGCUGGCCUGGAGUUAAGAUACCCACCCUCUGCUUUCUAAAUGCUGUGACUAAAAGUAUGCACCACCACAUCAGAAGGAUUCUAGUACUUUGUCUUAAACCACUUACAUCUGCAAAGAUCCUGUUUUCAAGUAGAAAUGCAUUCUGGAGUUCUGGAUAGAUAGGAAUUUUGUGAGGAACACUAUUUAACCCAGUACACUCUUACAAACUCCAGCCUUAGACAACCUCCACCUCUAGACUGUAAAAUGAUCUUUUAUUCACUUGAUGUAAUUGUCAUCUCAGGCUCACUGCCUCUGUCUGCUAACCUAGGUGAGGUCCUGGAAGCUUCCAGCCUCCAUACAAUCUUAUCUAGGCCUAGAAUGUUUUCAUCUUUUGAGACUUACUGCUGAACAAGCUCACCCUUUCUAGCUCUUUCUAUACUCUGGCUGGUUCAACUUAGCUGUUCUGGCUCAAACUGAUUCAAUCUGGCUUCUCAGUCUCUGACUGUUGUAAAUAUUUUUAUGUAAGAUGUUGAAAUUUGCACUAUUUUAAAAUGUGGCUAUUUGAGCUGGGCAGUGGUGGCACACGCCUUUAAUCCCAGCACUUGGGAGGCAGAGGCAGGCGGAUUUCUGAGUUCGAGGCCAGCCUGGUCUACAGAGUGAGUUCCAGGACAGCUUAGGGCUACACAGAGAAACCCUGUCUCGAAAAAACGAAAAAAAAAAAUGUGGCUAUUUGAAGCUGGAGAGGUGGCACUGUAUCUUGCAGAAGGACCUGGGUGUGGUCCUUUGCAUCCACUCGGAGGCUCACGAUCAUCUACAACUCUAGUUUAGGGGGAUUCAGUGCCCUCUUUCUAGCUACCUCAAGUACCAGGCACACAAUGAAGCACAUGCAUACAUGCAGGAAAACAUGAGAAAAAUUGUUAACAUAGCUAAAUUUUCUGAUGACAAAAUACUCAUUUAUUACACUGUAAUCACACUGAUAGAGCAGUUACCCCUGUAGAAUAGGCAGCACUGUUAAAAUAUUUUGACUAUAUUAGCUGUUCUUUUUAGGCUGCUGAUUAACUAGAACACAUAACAUUUUAUAAAGCUUUCUAUAAAGUUCCUUUACUCCUAAUAACCUGUAUCAUGUUCCUAAUAAGAACACGUCUUCCCCCAAACCAGAACUAUCAUUCACAAUUCUAAAGGAUAAUGGGUAAAAGUAAACUAUUCAAAGUAUAUUACUUCAUAUACAAAUUGCUUUGUAUUCAAAUUUCUUUGUAUAUAAAGUACAUUUCAUUACUUUUUCAAAAAGUUCCUUUCCUAUAAUGUACUCUGCUUUCAUUUCAGUAGAUACUGGGUUUGUCAGUGUUCUGUCCUUUGAAGUGCUUUAUUUUGAUGAUACAUGGGUUUUACUUUUGAGAAUCACAAUUUGAGUAUGAAUGUUUAGUAGACAAAACUUGUUCCAUAUUAUAACAGUAACUGUGGCUCUGUGGUCUAGUUUUUAAAACUUGUCAUUAUAGUGUCAUGAAAAUGUUUGAGUCAUGAGGCAUUUUAAUACACCAAUAUCAAAAUGUGCCAUUUAAUAAAGUUAUUCAACU
rnacentral:lncRNA from 1 species